UGGGGAAUAUUGGACAAUGGGCGCAAGCCUGAUCCAGCCAUGCCGCGUGAGUGACGAAGGCCUUAGGGUUGUAAAGCUCUUUUUGGCGGGGACGAUAAUGACGGUACCCGCAGAAUAAGCCCCGGCUAACUUCGUGCCAGCAGCCGCGGUAAUACGAAGGGGGCUAGCGUUGUUCGGAAUCACUGGGCGUAAAGCGCACGUAGGCGGAUUUGUAAGUCAGGGGUGAAAUCCCGGGGCUCAACCUCGGAACUGCCUUUGAUACUGCAAGUCUCGAGUUCGGGAGAGGUGAGUGGAAUUCCUAGUGUAGAGGUGAAAUUCGUAGAUAUUAGGAAGAACACCAGUGGCGAAGGCGGCUCACUGGCCCGAUACUGACGCUGAGGUGCGAAAGCGUGGGGAGCAAACAGGAUUAGAUACCCGUGUAGUCCCUGAGCGGGCUGGCAAGGCGCAU
rnacentral:rRNA from 1 species